rnacentral:rRNA from 1 species
UACGUAGGUGGCGAGCGUUGUCCGGAUUUACUGGGCGUAAAGGGCUUGUAGGCGGUUCGUUAAGUCUGGUGUGAAAUCUCCCGGCUCAACUGGGAGAGGUCAUUGGAAACUGGCGGACUAGAGACGGGUAGAGGAAAGCAGAAUUCCCGGUGUAGCGGUGAAAUGCGUAGAGAUGUGGAGGAACACCAGUGGCGAAGGCGACUCUUUGGCCUGUAACUGACGCUGAGGCGCGAAAGCGUGGGGAGCAAACAGG